CCUACGGGCGGCUGCAGUGGGGAAUAUUGGACAAUGGGCGAAAGCCUGAUCCAGCCAUGCCGCGUGUGUGAAGAAGGCCUUCGGGUUGUAAAGCACUUUCAGUGGGGAAGAAAGCCUUGGGGCUAAUACCCUCGAGGAAGGACAUCACCCACAGAAGAAGCACCGGCUAACUCCGUGCCAGCAGCCGCGGUAAUACGGAGGGUGCGAGCGUUAAUCGGAAUUACUGGGCGUAAAGCGCGCGUAGGCGGUCUGAUAAGCCGGUUGUGAAAGCCCCGGGCUCAACCUGGGAACGGCAUCCGGAACGGUAAGGCUAGAGUGCCGGAGAGGAAGGUAGAAUUCCCGGUGUAGCGGUGAAAUGCGUAGAGAUCGGGAGGAAUACCAGUGGCGAAGGCGGCCUUCUGGACUGACACUGACGCUGAGGUGCGAAAGCGUGGGUAGCAAACAGGAUUAGAUACCCUUGUAGUC
rnacentral:rRNA from 1 species